rnacentral:rRNA from 1 species
GUUAAGUUAGUGGCGGACGGGUGAGUAACGCGUGGGUAACCUGCCGUAUACCGGGGGAUAACACCUGGAAACAGGUGCUAAUACCGCAUAAGCGCACGGGACCGCAUGGUCCAGUGUGAAAAACCGAGGUGGUAUGCGAUGGACCCGCGUCUGAUUAGCUAGUUGGCAGGGUAACGGCCUACCAAAGCGACGAUCAGUAGCCGGCCUGAGAGGGUGGACGGCCACAUUGGGACUGAGACACGGCCCAAACUCCUACGGGAGGCAGCAG